rnacentral:tRNA from 1 species
GUUGUGCUAAGUUAUCAGACUAAGUGUUUUCAAAACACUCAGUGGCAUGGGUGCCGCAUAAUG